GACGAACGCUGGCGGCGUGCUUAACACAUGCAAGUCGAACGGUAAGGCCCUUCGGGGUACACGAGUGGCGAACGGGUGAGUAACACGUGGGUGAUCUGCCCUGCACUUCGGGAUAAGCCUGGGAAACUGGGUCUAAUACCGGAUAGGACCACUGCCUGCAUGGGCGGUGGGGGAAACCUUUUGCGGUGUGGGAUGGGCCCGCGGCCUAUCAGCUUGUUGGUGGGGUGAUGGCCUACCAAGGCGACGACGGGUAGCCGGCCUGAGAGGGUGACCGGCCACACUGGGACUGAGAUACGGCCCAGACUCCUACGGGAGGCAGCAGUGGGGAAUAUUGCACAAUGGGCGCAAGCCUGAUGCAGCGACGCCGCGUGAGGGAUGACGGCCUUCGGGUUGUAAACCUCUUUCAGCACCGACGAAGCGCAAGUGACGGUAGGUGCAGAAGAAGGACCGGCCAACUACGUGCCAGCAGCCGCCGUAAAAC
rnacentral:rRNA from 1 species